GCCUACCCCUGGUGUAGUGGUUUGAAUGUCAGACCACAACUCUGGAGACCAAGGUUCAAUUCCUUGCUCAGUCA